UCUUCUCAACUCUACCUUUUGUAGUUUCAUUCUAAAUUUGCACAUUUUUCUACCUUAAUAGGUGUAAUAAUCUGUCAUCUAAACAGUAGAUAUUAACUUUUAUGGAUUGAGUUUAAUUUUUAGUGUUGAAGAACAUGAUUUGCGUCUUCAAGCUCAGAUCUAUGCUUAAAUUGAGUGAAAUUAAGAUUCCUCUGUUUUGUCUGUUUGUGAAGAUGAAUAGUACACACCAUUUCUCCUCAUCUUCAUGUAGAGAUGCUUCAGAUCCAAUUUAAGAGAAAUGAAUCUUUGCAUGUCAGCUGUGUUACCAUUGUUGAUGUCUUCACCAGCUCUCGUACUCUAAUUAGCCUGUUUAGCAACAAAAUCGCAGCUGAUGGAAGAUAAAACAGAAGUACCAGACCAAGAAUUUUGGGUUUCUGCUGAUGGAGCUGCGAUGUUAGUCCAAUCGGAAAUCUGUCCAAAGCUGAAUGCGGAGAUUUUGAGCGAAGAAUUGCAGAAGAGACCACCUACGGAG